rnacentral:rRNA from 2 species
GAACUCUGGUAUUGAUUGGUGCUUGCAUCAUGAUUUACAUUUGAGUGAGUGGCGAACUGGUGAGUAACACGUGGGAAACCUGCCCAGAAGCGGGGGAUAACACCUGGAAACAGAUGCUAAUACCGCAUAACAACUUGGACCGCAUGGUCCGAGUUUGAAAGAUGGCUUCGGCUAUCACUUUUGGAUGGUCCCGCGGCGUAUUAGCUAGAUGGUGRGGUAACGGCUCACCAUGGCAAUGAUACGUAGCCGACCUGAGAGGGUAAUCGGCCACAUUGGGACUGAGACACGGCCCAAACUCCUACGGGAGGCAGCAGUAGGGAAUCUUCCACAAUGGACGAAAGUCUGAUGGAGCAACGCCGCGUGAGUGAAGAAGGGUUUCGGCUCGUAAAACUCUGUUGUUAAAGAAGAACAUAUCUGAGAGUAACUGUUCAGGUAUUGACGGUAUUUAACCAGAAAGCCACGGCUAACUACGUGCCAGCAGCCGCGGUAAUACGUAGGUGGCAAGCGUUGUCCGGAUUUAUUGGGCGUAAAGCGAGCGCAGGCGGUUUUUUAAGUCUGAUGUGAAAGCCUUCGGCUCAACCGAAGAAGUGCAUCGGAAACUGGGAAACUUGAGUGCAGAAGAGGACAGUGGAACUCCAUGUGUAGCGGUGAAAUGCGUAGAUAUAUGGAAGAACACCAGUGGCGAAGGCGGCUGUCUGGUCUGUAACUGACGCUGAGGCUCGAAAGUAUGGGUAGCAAACAGGAUUAGAUACCCUGGUAGUCCAUACCGUAAACGAUGAAUGCUAAGUGUUGGAGGGUUUCCGCCCUUCAGUGCUGCAGCUAACGCAUUAAGCAUUCCGCCUGGGGAGUACGGCCGCAAGGCUGAAACUCAAAGGAAUUGACGGGGGCCCGCACAAGCGGUGGAGCAUGUGGUUUAAUUCGAAGCUACGCGAAGAACCUUACCAGGUCUUGACAUACUAUGCAAAUCUAAGAGAUUAGACGUUCCCUUCGGGGACAUGGAUACAGGUGGUGCAUGGUUGUCGUCAGCUCGUGUCGUGAGAUGUUGGGUUAAGUCCCGCAACGAGCGCAACCCUUAUUAUCAGUUGCCAGCAUUAAGUUGGGCACUCUGGUGAGACUGCCGGUGACAAACCGGAGGAAGGUGGGGAUGACGUCAAAUCAUCAUGCCCCUUAUGACCUGGGCUACACACGUGCUACAAUGGAUGGUACAACGAGUUGCGAACUCGCGAGAGUAAGCUAAUCUCUUAAAGCCAUUCUCAGUUCGGAUUGUAGGCUGCAACUCGCCUACAUGAAGUCGGAAUCGCUAGUAAUCGCGGAUCAGCAUGCCGCGGUGAAUACGUUCCCGGGCCUUGUACACACCGCCCGUCACACCAUGAGAGUUUGUAACACCCAAAGUCGGUGGGGUAACCUUUUAGGAACC